rnacentral:lncRNA from 10 species
GCACAGGUAGCAAGAUUGUCUCCGGGACGAGGACACCUGCGCCGCCGACAUGAUGCCUGCCCUGGGGAAGGAUUUUUCGCCGUGAAUUUCGUAUAAGGUAUUAACCAUUUCAUCUGCGGUUGAACCUUAUCCCCCCCGGCAUGGAUGUUAAAUUCAUCGCCACCACUGAUGCCGAAGCACCUGCAAAAUUAGCUGUUUUCCAAUCUUCCAGAAAUUGUCUUUUCUAUUUGUUUUUGUGCCCUGAUCUAGGAACCCGGGCUUCAACGAUAGAGCUAAAUGAAUUCAGAGUGCGCUACCCUUCCCCCCAGCCGCACUUUAAAAAUUUUGGCUGAACGUCUGAAGAAGAUACGAGCACCCCGAGGCCUUUAAGGAAAACAGGCAACUGGCUGCGCACAGCUGCAGUUCAGGGCAGGGAGGGGGAGGGGCCGGAGAGGCCAAACAGGUGAGUGUUUUUUCUAGAGUUUGAUUUUUAAAAGGUGGAGGCAGCAUUUAAUAAUACUGAUACAUUUUUGUAAAGCACAGCCGCAGUUUUCAAAGUUCUUUCUCAGGCGCUGUGAUCUCACUCCAUGUUGCCCCAGAAGGCGGAACAAGGCCGUGAUUUUUUUUUUUUUUUUUUUUUAAGACGGAGUCUUGCUCUGUCGCCCAGGCUGGAGUGCAAAAUGGCGCGAUCUCGGCUCACUGCAACCUCUGCCUCGCAGGUUCAAGCGAUUCUUCCGCCUCAGCCUCCCAAGUAGCUGUGAUUACCGGCACCCGCCAUCAGGCCCAGCUAAUUUUUUGUAUUUUUGUAGAGACAUGGUUUCACCAUGUUAGCCAGCUGGUCUUGAACUCCUGACCUCAGGUGAUCCUCCCGCCUCGGCCUUCCAAAGUGCUGGGAUUACAAGCAUGAACCACCACGCCCGGCCAAGGCCGUGAUUUCUUCUGCCUUACAAGAUCACUGCUCAUCAGUAUUGCUUAUGGCACGAUGGAUAUGUUGGUCAUAGCUCUAGUUGGGGCAUUUCUAUUGAUUAUUCUAAUUAUUGGGUUUGCUUUUUUUUUUUUUUUUAUUUCAUGAAAACUGAGAUAAUCCCAGGGAAGGCUGGAGAAGGGAAAGCAAUAUAAUGGGAUUUCGGAUUCUGAAGUGUGGCCCACCAGAUUGAAAUUUCCUCUCCAUCACUAACUGGCUCUCCACCCUUAAGCUAGUUACCCACAAAAUCUCUCUUUUCCAUGGAAAAGAGAAUGGAAUGAUAGCUCCCAGGUUGUUAGGGUUGUUUGAGAUUUCAACUUCGGUUUUUUGUUUUUUUGAGAUAGGAUCUUGUUCUGUUGCCCAGGCUGGAGUGCAGUGGCACACUCGCGGCUGGCAGCAGCCUGACCUCCCAGGCUCAAGUAAUCCUCCCACCUCAGCCUCCCUAGUAGCUGGGACUACAGGCAUGUGCCAUUACACCUGGCCAAUUUUUUUGUAUUUUUGGAAAGGGAUGGGGUUUUGCCGUGUUGCCCAGGCUGGUCUCAAACUCCUGGGCCCAAGUGAUGCACCCACCUUGGCCUCCCAAAGUGUUGGGAUUACAGGCAUGAGCCACCUCACCCGGCCUCAAUUUGUUUCUUGUCAUAAGAAGAGAUAACGCUUACUUAGACUUGCCGUGGGACCUUAGUAAACUAGGUGGCUUUACUUGCAUCACCCUUAAUAUUAUCUACAUUAUUAAGGGGAUAUUAUCUAUAGUAUUUUGUUGUUGUUUUGAGACAGAGUCCACUCUGUCACCCAGGCUGGAGUACAGUGACGCAAUCUCAGCUCACUGCAACCUCCACCUCCCAGGUUCAAGCAAUUCUCCUGCCUCAGUCUCCCAAGUACCUGGGGAUACAGGCGCCCGCCACCACACCCAGCUCAUUUUUGUAUUUUUAGUAGAGACGGACUUUCACCAUGUUGGCCAGGCUGGUCUCGAACUCCUGACCUCAGGUGAUCCUCCCGCCUCAGCCUCCCAAAGUGCUGGGAUUACAGGCAUGACCCACCGUGACCGGCCUAUUACAGUAUUAAACCCUUAAUAUUAUCUACAGGGUAGAUUCUUUUACCUCCAUUUUACAAACCAGGAAAGUAAAGAGGCUAUAUAACUUGCCUACAGCCAUUAGUGAUGGGGCUGGGAUUUGAAUCCAGUAAAUCUGAUUUGAGGUGUCUUUGACAAGCUCAGGCUUGCAGAGGUGGUUUGGGGUGCUCAAAAUUCCCAUCAGCCCCAGUUGAUUUGGUGUUACAUACAAUCUUACGUAAGUACUAUGCCAAUACACCUUCAUAACCAACCCCCAGCCUCCCCUUCCAAGCGCAUUUGUACCACUGAGUUCUAUAUACAGAAGUUGUAGAUCUGUCACUACCAGACUGUAACUUAAAUACACCAUACAGAAUGGAGAGCAGUGUUGGACUCACAGUUAGUGUUAGUUAUUAUUAGUAUUGAUACUAGUGUUGGUACUAUUGCUGGUUGACAUGUGACAGUACUUAGUAAACUGCAUAAAUUGUGAGGAUCACUAUUAUCACUCUUAUUACUAGUAAUUGCAAUAAAGUUCAGUGGAAGCAACAAGAGAUACUUACUUUUAUUUUGACACUUGACUUCCAGAGCCUGUUCCCCUAUCCAACCCUCCCCAGAGCCCCAAUCUCCCACUCAUUCUGGGGCCCCUGAGUGCAAAGGAAAGGCGAGUUUUUAAGGACAGAAGAGGAGGAGGAGCCCUAGGGAGCCCCUCUUUCAUCUCAAAGCAGCCAGAUUUCUGUUUUUGCAAAACAGUGAGCUCACUGUGCACUCUAGAGCAAUAAUAAACUUUCUCUGGCCUGCUGGCACUUUGCAGUGAUUCCUCUGCAAAGAGUUGCUUGGGGAGCAUUGCCUCACUCUCCCAGACUUCAG